UAAUAAAGGGCGUGCGAGGGGCAAAGAGGGAGUUCGGGCUCGGAGCCUGGGUUAGGUCCGCGGCGGUGGUGCGGUUAACGGGUGACCAUGGUUAACCGCGCAAGCACGCCAGGAGUUACGGAGUUUACAGGCACAGAGCUGAAACGAGGCGGUGGUCAAGCUCAGGUCACGCCCAUGAAGCCAAGUUGAAAAGAUGGACGAACCAAAGCCGGGAGCAGGCAGGCACGGCAACUGGCUGGCGCCCGGGGCCGGCGUCAGCGAACCGCACCCGCCCCGCCGCAGGCCCAGCAGCGACGCAGCAGGAGCGUGGUGGAGAGCUGUGUACGUGCGCGACGCGACGCUCGUUGUGGGGGCGUGGGUGGGUGGAAUCGGCGCGCGGUGCCGGUGCACCGCAGUGCAGCGAGCGCGCGGCGGCAGGUGGGGCGGGAAAGGCGGCUCGCAUCCACUGGUCGGGGUGGUGUGGGGUGGGGGGCAAAAGCAGGCCGGUAGAAGCCAAAUCAUACGGCGGGGCAGCUUUUCUGGGAAAUGGACAUGGAGGAGCGCUCUGCUGUGCUGAACAUGUUCCAGCAGCAGGGACCGGGAGCUAAUAAAUAGUUUUGCACUUCGCUCCUUGAGCCCCUCCUUCACGUUCA